AAUUUGUUAAAUAACUCAUCCCAGUGUGACAGAAGUAAUAAAACCAAGCAGAAAGAUCUUGUAGUGUCAAAUGUGUAAUAUCACUUUACCUCAAGCCAAACUUAUUUUCAUCAUCACAGUUCCAGUCACCUGCCAAGGAGAUGUGUUCUGCAUGUUUGACACCCGUCUAUCCGAUGGAAAAAAUGGUGGCCAACAAACUUAUCCUGCACAGCACCUGUUUCUGCUGCAAGCACUGUAGGAAGAAGCUCAGCCUCACCAACUAUUCAUCUCUUUAUGGAGAGUUCUACUGCAUUUCUCACUACCAACAGUUGUUUAAAAGAAAAGGAAACUAUGAUGAGGGAUUUGGCCACAUGCAACACAAAAACCACUGGCUUCAGAAGAAUAAAGGAACAGAUGAGCCAGAUGCCAAAUCCACUCCCAAAAUAACAAAACCCAAACUAAGCACUACUGUCACCUCCAGAGAGUCUCCCACUGAAGCCAUAAAGUUACCUGCAAAAGAGUCAGGAAGUAAAAGCGGUACUGAAUUUAAGGGGAAACUGAAAAUGAGCUGGCCCCCAGAGAAGAAGAACAGUGGGCUUAAUCUGACACAACAAACAAGAGCAUCGUCUCUGAAAAAAUCUGGAACAGAUGAGCCAGAUGCCAAAUCCACUCCCAAAGUGACAAAACCCAAACUAAGCACUACGGUCACCUCCACAGAGUCAUCUGCUGAUGCCAUAAAGUUACCUGCAAAAGAGUCAGGAAAUAAAAAUGGCACGGAAUUUAAGGGGAAAUUGAAAAUGAGCUGGCCCCCAGAGAAGAAGGACAAUGAGGUUAAUCUGACACAGCAAACAUAUGCAUCAUCUCUGAAAAACAAGAUAUCUGAGUUCGACAAAGCAGCUGCAGUCACUAAGAGCUUUUCAGAGAAUCAGAAAAAUGACAAACUCAACUACAAAAUAGAUAUGAGAACUAAGGCAGUGAAGGAAAAAUCGAAGAUAGCAGGCUUUGUCUCAGCUGAGAAAUUACCCAUAGAGAAAACAAGCCUUAAGACAGGCCAUUUCCAAGUCAAGAGCUCAGAGAAUAGUAUUUCUGUCAUGAGCCAAAAAACACUUCAGUCAGGUGUUACACCCGCCACGAAAACAAACAGUUCAACCCCUAACAGGUUGGAUCCAAAUAAAGUUCGUAAAUCUGUACGGUUUUCUCCGCAUGUUGAUGUGACUCAGAAUGACCAGCCCUCUAAAUCAAGCUCAGAAGCUGAAAAUAACAUGCUGUCAGAUCAACCUGAACAAAGUGAAGUAACAGCAAUCAGCGACAACACAAAUGUUGAUCGUUUAACAUCUGAGAUCAGUGGAGAAUGUCAAGAAAGAGAGAUCUACCUUGAAAUCCCUGAACGUAAAUGCCAAGAAGAAACAACAAGUAAAUCAAACCAGGAGAGUGAUGUUAAAGAGAAAAACAGUCAAGAGAUUCCACAGACUGAGAUUACAACUCCGAACAAAGAGAAGGUUGAUGAAUCACUUCACACUCAAAGUUUUAGUUCAACUCAGGACAUCAUGAUGCAACAGGAGCCAGUUGAGAAGCCAGAUGUCCCACCAAGAAACUUCGUGAAUGCAUGUGAGUCAGAAAAUCUAAAUAUUCCACAAAGUCCAGCAAGAAAUGUGACCAUAGUGGAGUUCAGUCUUCAAAAGAAUGAAAACCAGUUGGAAAAGACUGAUUCAAUCAAUGACCAAGGAAACAGCGGUGAUCAGAAGAAGCCUCUUGCAAGAACAAAUUCUCUAAAAGGUUCUUCUAAACAGGCUGACAAAACUAAAACCAAACUGGGAUCCUGGUCCAAAGGAAAGAGUCCUUUGUCAAAGUUCUUCACAUCGAGUGGAAGCGACAAGACAAACAAGGCUGAACCGAAGGACGGCAAGAAACCUGAAGUCAAAACUAGUGGUGGACUUCUGGGGAGGCUGUUUCAGACAUCUUCAGAGAAAACCGAGGAGACCAAAAAAACAGCAGAUGAAAGGAACAAAAAAACACAUGCUGAUGACAAGAACACAGGAAAGGAAAAAGAGACAAAAGAGAUGCAAAAAGAAAAAGACAAAUCUCAGGUCUCACCUCUGGAACCAGAUGUUCAGAACAAUACCAAGGUGAAGUCACAGCCUUCCGAGCCCAACACACUAGAUAGUAACUGCAGAUCUACAGAGCCAUCCAACCUCCCUCAGAUACCUGCUCGUGAGUCAGGUGACAAUCAAACAGCUGGUGAUAAAGAGUCAAAUUUGCAGAGCAGUGAAGCUACAGAUCUGUCUGUCAGUGAGCCUGAAACUGAGUCUGAAGAUCCUCCCUCUCUGAACACAGUGCAUGACGAGUCAAUCAGUGAGCUGAUACCUGAGAAGAGCAGUGAAGACAUUUUAAAUGAUCCAUUUAAAGAUGAUACUUCUGGAGACAGUGUCAGUUCAGCCCUUGCUGACCCAUUAGCCAUUCAGAUAAUUACAGAUGAAUCAGGCCAAAAACCAAACAAACUGCUAGAUGCAUCAGAUGAAGGGGAAGGAAAACUUUGCAAUGAACCACAUGCCAUUCUCAACCAUGAACAUCCACGAGAUUCCUCCAUUUGUUUGGACCUAUCCAACACCGCUGAUGAUGCGUUUUCAUCUUCUCUAAAUGACACCCAGACAAAACAGCAGGACUUAGAUCUUUUCGGUGCGGAAAACCUGACAAAACAGCAAGAUCUAGAUUCUUACAGUGCAGACAACCAGACAAAACAACAGGACUUGGAUCCUUUUGGUGCAGACAACCAGACAAAACAACAGGACUUGGAUCCUUUUGGUGCAGACAACCAGACAAAACAACAGGACUUGGAUCCUUCAGGUGCAGACAACCAGACAAAACAGCAGGACUUGGAGCCUUCAGGUGCAGACAACCAGACAAAACAGCAGGACGUAGAUCUUUUUGGUGCAGACAACCAGACAAAACAGCAGGACUUGGAUCCUUUUGGUGCAGACAAUCAGGCAAAACAGCAGAACGUAGAUCUUUCAGGCACAGAUAACCAGACAAAACAGCAGGACUUGGAUCCUUUUGGUGCAGACAACCAGGCAAAACAGCAGGAUGUAAAUCCUUUUGGUGCAGACAAUCAGGGAAAACAGCAGAACGUAGAUCUUUCAGGCACAGACAACCAGGCAAAACAGCAGAACGUAGAUCUUUCAGGCACAGACAACCAGACAAACCAGCAGGACUUGGAUCCUUUUGGUGCAGACAACAACACAAAACAGCAGAACUUGGAUCUUUUUGGUGCAGACAACCAGACAAAACAGCAGAACUUGGAUCUUUUCGGUGCAGACAACCAGACAAAACAGCUGGACGGAGAGCCUUUCAUGGCAGACAACCAGACAAAACAGCAGGACAUAGAUCCUUUUGAUGCAGACAACCAGGCAAAGCAGCAGGACUCGGAUCCUUUUGGUGCAGACAAUCAGGCAAAACAGCAGAACGUAGAUCUUUCAGGCACAGACAACCAGACAAAACAGCAGGACUUGGAUCCUUUUGGUGCAGACAACCAGGCAAAACAGCAGGAUGUAGAUCCUUUUGGUGCAGACAAUCAGGGAAAACAGCAGAACGUAGAUCUUUCAGGCACAGACAACCAGGCAAAACAGCAGAACGUAGAUCUUUCAGGCACAGACAACCAGACAAACCAGCAGGACUUGGAUCCUUUUGGUGCAGACAACAACACAAAACAGCAGAAGUUGGAUCUUUUUGGUGCAGACAACCAGACAAAACAGCAGAACUUGGAUCUUUUCGGUGCAGACAACCAGACAAAACAGCUGGACGGAGAGCCUUUCAUUGCAGACAACCAGACAAAACAGCAGGACAUAGAUCCUUUUGAUGCAGACAACCAGGCAAAGCAGCAGGACUCGGAUCUUUUUGGUGCAGACAACCAGGCAAAACAGCAGGACUUGGAUCCUUUUGGUGCAGACAACCAGACAAAACAGCAGCACAUAGAUCCUUUUGGUGCAGACAACCAGACAAAACAGCAGGACUUGGAUCCUUUUGGUGCAGACAACCAGACAAUACGGCAGUACAUAGAUCCUUUUGGUGCAGACAACCAGACAAUACAGCAGGACAUAGAUCUUUCAGGUGCAAGCAACCAGACAAAACAACAGGAGAUGGAUCCUUUCGGUGCAGACAAUCAGACAAAGCAGCAGGAGUUGGAUCCUUUCAGUGCUGACAACCAGGCAAAGCAGCAGGACAUAGAUCCUUUCAUUGCAGACAAUCAGACAAAGCAGCAGGACAUAGAUCCUUUCAUUGCAGACAAUCAGACAAAACAGCAGGACAUAGAUCCUUUUGAUACAGACAACCAGGCAAAGCAGCAGGACGUAGAUCUUUUUGGUGCAGACAACCAGACAAAACAGCAGGACUUGGAUCCUUUUGGUGCAGACAACCAGACAAUACGGCCGUACAUAGAUUCUUUUGGUGCAGACAACCAGACAAAACAGCAGGACAUAGAUCUUUCAGGUGCAAGCAACCAGACAAAACAACAGGAAGUGGAUCCUUUCGGUGCAGACAAUCAGACAAAGCAGCAGGAGUUGGAUCCUUUCAGUGCAGACAACCAGACAAAACAGCAGGACAUAGAUCCUUUUGAUGCAGACAACCAGACAAUACAGCAGGACAUAGAUCUUUCAGGUGCAAGCAGCCAGACAAAACAACAAGAAGUGGAUCCUUUCGAUGCAGACAAUCAGACAAAGCAGCAGGAGUUGGAUCCUUUUGGUGCAGACAACCACACAAAACAGCAGGACUUGGAUCCUUUCGUUGCAGACAACCAGACAAGUAAGGAGGACUUUAACUUUGACAUAUUCAGCUCAAAUGACCACCUGUUCACUCAGUCUCCUGCUGUUAAUAUUCCUCAAGCAGAAGGCGAUACGUCCACAAAUCAGUCAUCUGCCUUGACUGAUGACAUCUUUGGAAUAAGUGAUGUCUCAAGCAGUGCAGAUGUGUUAAUACUGCAGUCAAACAGUCCAGCCAUUGGUCAGAAUACUGACUCUGAUUUACUGAAUAAUUUAUUUGGUUCUGAUGUUCCUUCUUCUUCUGCUCCAUCAGCUCAGAUGGAUCUUUUUAACGGUGACAUUUUUGCAUCAGAACAACUGCUGCCAUUAUCUGAACCAAGUAAUGCAAAUGUAUUAGUGGGCAGUCUUGUGGUGAGCGAAAACAACAGUACUGAGCAAAAAACAGAGAACAAUAGCUGGAUGGAUGAUUUGCUUGGGUAGACUGUUUUAAUGAUGUUCUACUUUUUUUAAAUAAAAGAAGGACUGAUUCAAGUGCAUAGAUAUAACAAAAUGCUAAACAUUUAAUUGGUUACCAAAAACGCAACUAAUAUUGUUUUCACUCACAUUGAAUUUUAUUAUGAAAUCUGCAUCAAAUGCUAUUGUAACAUUUAUGUUUAAAUUUAUGUGGUAAAUAGGCUAUCCAUCUUAUGAAUAUUUCUACAAGAUUAAUGAAUUUUAUCAUUUGAUUUUCUGUCAAAAUGAACUUAAAGACAAACAGACGAUGUAAUGUUUUCUGAAUAACUGAACAUUUACUGUGAGACUUUGCCUGAGCAUAAAGGUGAGGAAAUUAAGAAGUCAAAAUUAGGUCUGCAAGAAUUAACUAAUAAGCUGUCAACUAUUAAAUUAAAAGCAAACUAUUCAGAUAUUUGAUUAACUAGCUCAAGUAGAUGUUUUUUGAUUCCAGCUUUCAGAGACAUUUGUCAUCUUGGCUUUUGAAAAACACUGAUUAACAUUUUUUGCAACCUUUAUGCUCAGUUUUUUUAGGCAUGUUAUAUAUGAAUCAAAUCUAAAACUAAUUGUCAACUGCCAUUUUAUUCAAAAGUGCUAACUCGAUGUAUAUUGAGUUUGAAAUUUUCUGUAUAGCUUCGAGAAAUAAAGUCUUAAAAAUGCCCUUCUAUACAAUGUGUUCAUCAAUGAAUAAUCUGUAAUAAAAUGAUUACUUUAAGAACCGAGGCAGUUCUGGCUGAUGACUUUUCCUGUGUCACUCUGUACUUUGCAGAAAACAAGGUAGAUAGAAGACUGAUAUCUCUCCAGAGCUAUAAAGAAAUAUGAAGCCAGAAGCUAGUUAGCUUAGCCUAACACUGGAAACAUAGGUUAUGUGGUAGAUCUACUGGGGGCAUCUGGCAAAAUAAAGCACAUCUAAUGUCAUAAAUGAAAAAGCAAUGAGUCGAGUGUUGCCCAGUGUGACGGAGUAAGUUUUGAUUGAUUACAACUAUGACUAUGCAUUUUGUUAUCACCGACUAUUUAAAUAAGCAAAGUUCACAAAAUUGUUUGUGUGUCAGAGUACUAUAGUGUCACAUAUUAAGAAAAAGUCUUAUCCACAUAACCAAAAAACAUCUAGCUAAUUGGAAUUAAAUGGAUAAAACAUUUUGAACCCCUGUGACUCAAUACUGACAAACAAUCAGGGUGAAAUAUUACAUGGAGGCAAAAACAGAUUUUUUGUUAUUGGGCAGGCCAUUGUCAGACUUCUUGAAAGAAAACAUCAAAAAACACAUUCAGGUGUUUAUCCUGAUACAUUUUCUAUAAUGAACAUUUACUCAAAUUGUAAACUUAUCAGAAAAUGUGACAUACAUAAACUAAUAAUAUAAAAUAGAAUAAAGCAAGUAAGCCACACAUUAUGACUAAAACAGCGUUGCUGGGGGUUAAAGAACCGUCUGAGGCCUCUUCUUGGACUGUCCAUAUUAUAUUUUAUUAUAUUUCCCUCAUGUCUCUGCCUGAGGUGGCAGAGAAGUGAAGAAAGCACACCCUGUUAUCUGUUGUAAACACAGUAGUAAAACCUAACAUACAUUAAAACCUUCACCUUGACCAACAUUGACCAAAGUCAUAAAAGUUGUUUAACACAGUCACUGCCUGUACCGACACAAAUACAGCUUACCAGCACAAUGCCACUAUUUGAUUUUUUAACCCGCACACUCUAAUAGAGCAUCACAGUCUGGAACCUUGCACUAUAAUGUCCCAGUGAAGCUGACCUUCUACUUUUUAGAUUUAAAAUGCUGUCACACAAAGCACUGUGAAAGUUUUCAAUUGACAGCUCUUGCAAACAUAUUUAUUAACAUACUCAAUAAAAUCUUGAAUGUGGUACAGUGUCUAUUCAAAGUAAAUUAGGUAAACAAUUCAGUCCAAUAACUAUAGUCACAUAACACAAGCUGUCAAAGUGUUUGUAAUUAGUGGGCCAGAUAACUGCAAAUAUUACAAGAAUCAUUCAUGUUGCCACACAAGCACCAAUAUCAUUUUUAUUUUUAACAUUCCUGGUAAAGGGUCAGAAGUCAGUCCUGCAGACAUAGGACGUUUACAUGUUUUGCAUGUUUUAAUCUAAUCUGAACGUAAAAACAUUUUUACAGAUGUCUGACAUUUGAUUUGUGGCCAGGAAAAGAAAAAAGUAAUACAGUGCAUGAUUAGAAGUUUCAUGGCAAAGUUUAAAUCAGUUUGAUCCUUCUUGUGUAAGUGAAAAUUUGAUGGUUCUCUGUUAUUCAGUUGAGCUCUCAAAAUGAAGAAAAUAAGAAUUUGUUUUGUAAAAAUCAUGAACAUCUACCCUUAAUGACAAUAGAGUAGUAGCAGUAACUUGAUUAUGGACCCAAGAGGACAAGAAGACCAGCAGACAAACAUUACUACAACUUGGUUGAAGGGCUGUGUGGAGGUUUGUGUGACUGAUUUUUGCUCCUCAGGGUAGUCUGACUUCUGUAGGGAAGCCCAAUACAAAGAGGUUUAUUAGUUACACUGAACAGGAACAGCAAAAGGGUGUUAUUCAUGUCUUUCUCUGCCACUUUAUGAACAAGCUUUCUAUAUUCUUGGGCUUUAACCUUUUCAUGUUAGGUUAGUUUACAUUUCGAAAAAAAACAAUAGAAAAACUCAAGAUAUUUGUGACUUCACCUAAAACUUAAAAGUAUAACUUUGUGCUGUAUAUAACACUUUUCAUGCUUAGCUGAAAUUAAGAAUCCCAACAUGAGACUUAAACAUUCACAUUUAACUUAAAAAUGUGCUGUCAACAGCAUUUUUCCUGCUGAACCUCCGUCCCACACAAAGUAAAUAGACUUACAAAUUUACACAUACAGUGAAAGAGUUUCAGGAGUUGUUAUAUUGCACACUUCACUAACAAGCACAGAUAACACAGGUCACACAUGUUCAUGGCUUUGAUAAAGGCGUUCGGAGUUGAACCAGGUCUGCUUGCUUGCUGCUUGCAUACCUGUUGCCCUCGGCGUCACUGACUGUUUCUGGAAGCUCUUUGUUUCUGGUCUCAGGAAGCAGGAGGCCGAGAGCUCCGCUGAUGAUGGUGAAGCUGCUGAGGACUGAGAUUGGUAUGGCCCAGUGGUACAUGGACAACA